GUGUGUGUGUGUGUUCUGCGGUCUGUGUGUGUGUGUAUUCUGCAGUCUGUGUGAUGUGUGUGUGUGUAUGUGUGUGUGUGUAUUCAGCAGUCUCUGUGAUGUGUGUGUAUGUGUGUGUGUGUGUGUGUGUGUGUGUAUUCAGCAGUCUCUGUGAUGUGUGUAUGUGUGUGUGUGUGUGUAUUCAGCAGUCUCUGUGAUGUGUGUGUGUGUGUGUAUUCAGCAGUCUUUGUGUGUAUUUAGCAGUGUGUAUGUGUGUUUUUAUCGGCGUGUGUAUGUAUUCAGCAGUCAGAUGGGAGAAUGGUGAGAGAAAUAGAACCAGAAGAUUCAUCUGUUAUAAACGGACACGCAUUGUUAUAUACUAUAUACACAAUAACAUACACAGACAUAGUAGACACACACUCACAGUAUACAGACAACAAUAUGCACACAUUGCUAUACACACACACACACACAAUGCUACACACACACACACAUUAUGCUAUACACACAGUCAGACAGAACACACACAUUGUAAGUAGUUUAUUAGUGAUUUAGGGAAUUUUCUCCUUCCAAAUGUUCUCAUUCUCUUAAAUACAUUGUGUCCUGCGAUGUCACGUAUAUUUAAUAAUUUAUGCAAAUUAGCAUGGCCGGUAUUUUUUUCCAAAAAAAGGUGGCAACCGUAUACAUGGCCCAGGAAAUCACAGUUAAAUUCCCAGAAGUCACAUCUUAAAACUUACUAAAACCUUUCAUGAAAGAUUUUAGAUUUUACAUUAGUGGUAUAGUAGGAUGAUUUGGAUAAAGUAACAUUACUAGCACCCACAACUCAGCUAAAACAAAGUCAUACAAUAUAUAGAGUGCAAUCAAUAAGUAAAAAACAAUAUAGUAAAUAAUAAACAGUAUCAUAUUAAUAAAAGCAGCUGGAAACUUCCUAACAAUUUCAGCACAUACAAUGUACUAAUAAUCGUGUUAGCGCUAUAUAGGAGGUGCCCACAAUUGUAUGCUGGGCGCUCCUAAAGUGAUCUUAAGGAAGAAAAAUAACAACCACUUAUUGCAUUAAAAUAUCAAUUUGUUAUAAGAAACCUAAAUAGUAUCCACAAUUGAUUUUUGGCAAUAUAUAUAUUCUUCCUCAAAAGAAUGUGUAAUAAUGUCCCAGAGUCCUUUGGUGUUGGAGUGGUUGAUCUUGCCACAUAAGUAAGAUCCACAGGCUUGGAAUACAGUGUAUACCGCAACAAAUAGUACCUUAGAAAGAUACAAAAGAAAUCCUCAUAGUCAUAGUGCAACACUGUUUUAAUUAUUAAAAGUUAAAAAACCCUCUCCCCAAAAAGGAACCACUACAUGGACAAAUGGUGGUACUUGUUUCCAAGACACCACAAACACACAUGGGUUUUAACGAGUGCAAUAGAUGUUACCCCCCGUCCUUCAGAUCUCAUCGCUCAGACUUAAAUCUCCCUUCUGUGCAGCUGAGUAUCAGAGCCGGUAUCGGUAGUCACUCCGUGUUCACCCUUCCAGAACAGAGGCCAUUUCACAGUGAGAAUCACGCAAGCGCCUCUAGCGGCUGUCAAUGAGACAGCCACUAGAGGCUUUAGAGGCUGGAUUAACCCAUUUAUAAACAUAGCAGUUUCUCUGAAACUGCUAUGUUUAUAAAAAAAAAGGGGUUAAUCCUAGAGGGACCUGGCACCCAGACCACUUCAUUAAGCUGAAGUGGUCUGGGUGCCUAGAGUGGUCCUUUAAUUUUGUGGCCCCUCACAAGAUGAUUGUCUUAAAUGAUCAAAUGCUAAGACUGCUUCGUGAUAGGAUAGUUAACAACAAUCAGAAUGUAAGAUGGUGGAGUAAGAAUUAACCUUAAAAUACUGCGAGAUUUUAUGAUUGGGUACAAAUUUGAGUCUGUAUUGAAAAUCUAUGUUUAUAACAAAACACAGAAGGGCUAAAAUAUUCUAAAUAUAUAGUUUGAUUAAAACGUGUGAAUUUGUGAAAUGUGCUUUGAGAAUUAUUGUUAAUAAGAGCUUCUAAAUUUGAGAUAUUUUAUUCCUGACCCUAUAGUGUUUAACCCACCAUUUAGGUGCUUCCCCCCCACCCUUAGCCGCUUAGAAAAGGUGAAAAUUCACCUUAAUUCCAGCGCCGCCUUCUUGGUGACAUCAUUGGAAUUGCCGAUUUUUAGCCAAUCCAAUGCUUUCCCAUAGGGAGAGCAUUGGAUUGGCUGAUAUUAGGAAGGGGGAGGAGGCGGGGCCAAAUGCUAUUUUUAGCCAAUCAGCACCUCCUUAUAGAGAUGCAUUGAAUCAAUGUAUCUCUAGGAGGAAAUUUCAGCGUCCCCAUGUAGAGCGUGGGGACGCUGAACGGCAGUGCUGCCCACUGUGCAGCACUGAGCCAGGAAGCACUUCCAGUGGCCAUCUGAGGAGUGGCCACUUGGAGGUGUCCCUAGGGGCAAUGUAAGCACUGCCUUUUCUCUGAAAAGGUGGCGUUUGCAUGAAAAUGCCUGAAGGCAAUGAUUAUACUCACUAGAACAACUACAUUAAGCUGUAGUUGUUCUGGUGACUAUAGUGUCCCUUUAAGUUAAAUGCUGUUAUAUUGCCAUCAGUUAUUGAGUCUUUGUAAGUGUGUUAGAGUUAGUAUUGCUUCCUAGGUUGACUGGUGAAGCAGGUUAUAUAUGCAUGUGAGUAGCUGGUUAUGUAUGUGUCUCAAAUGACGUAUUAGUUUGUGUAAACAAGGGGAGCAGCAACAUUGUCAUUCAAUGGCCUGCAAAUGGUAAGGGCAGCCUUGUUAUGGUAGAAAGAGGCAAGGUGUGAGGUUUAUAUUAUGCUUUUGAUAAACUGGACACCAAAUACAUCAGUUUAGAUGGCACAGAGUUAAUAAAACUGAGAAUUGCCAUUCCGGUUAGAAUUUUGGAACUGGGUAGUCGUUAUAGAGACUGAGAUAAGACACAACAUGGACAAAGCCCAACACAAAUUAAAAAGGUAAAGACAAAUAAUUAUGUCUGUCUCAUUUAUCAUUGUAAUAGUCUUUAAAAUUGAUCAUCCUUCAUAAUCCUUCAUAAUUUCUAUAGCUUUGGUUAUAUUUGUUAUUCACAAUAAAAUUAAUAUUCAUUUUCUCAACUAUCCGUGUGUCGUUAAUUGAAAAUAAAUAGGGCUGGCAUUCCAAAGGACCAUGACAAACCUGCUAAACUUGUUACUUUAAUUAUCUAUGAAUUUGUAAGACUUUCUUCAUUAAAAUGUGUUGGUGAUUACUGGAAAAUCUCCUGAAAUGGACAACAACUAAGUUAUGUUUUAUUUUGUUUGUAAAAUACGUGGUUUAGAGUAAUUUACAACUUGUAUUCAGCCAAUCACAAUACAGCUAUUAUACGGACUGUGAUACAGUGAUUAAUAAAUGUACAGAUACAGCAUAAAAUAAUGACAAUUUUGUGUCUGCUCUAAAAUACAUCGUCAAGCAAAAAGGGAAUUGGGGGUACAACUAGACAGUGCUGUACUAAGGGAGGGGGCGGACCCCCAUGGUUACCUCUCAUCAAGGGGUUGCCAUUUGCCG
rnacentral:lncRNA from 1 species